rnacentral:lncRNA from 1 species
AAAGUCCGUCUAAUUAGCUCGAGAAACUCGGUUGAAACGCAUCAGAUUUCAGCCCCAAAACUCGCUAAAAACCAGUCAAAAAGCAACUGAAGCCCUGUCCGAAAUGACUCUCGAACCAUAGCUAAAAUCUGCUGCAACAGCGCCCAAAAUGCCACCACAGAUUCGAGUCGAGUUGACGAGCUGUCCGGUUGCAAAUCAGAGAUUCCGUUGGAGGUGCGGUCUGUUGGUCUUGUUCGAAGUCGAUCGUUGUUGCGCAAUUCCGUCUGUUGUAGUUGCUGGAAUAUUUUUUGACAUUUGAAAACGUAUCGAGGUUCGCUCUAACAUUUCUCUGUUGCUUCCGUACUUGGGAUAUAUUUUUCUUACUGAAUCUUGGAAUUCCUUGUUUGUUUGUUUUGUUUUACAGCUUAUUUUCCCUGUUUUAGAUAAUUUAGUAAUGUUUGUUUCUUUGUUUAGAUUUGUUCUGUGUUGUUCUUUUGGAUAUCUUGGAUGUUGCAUAUUAAUUUGUGCCAUCAAGCUUAAAAAGAAUUAUAGAUCAUGGGUUUUGUAUGUGAAAAUGAAAUUGUAUUAGGCUAAAAUGAUAUUGGGUUCUAUGACAAUUUCAAUUGGAUUUUUGUUUGGUAUGUGACAUGUUGAGUUGCAUAUGGUUUAGGUCUCGUUAUUGAUAGGAUUUUUAAAAUGAUAAGAGUAUGCCUGGGCCGAUAACGCUCGGGUAGGCAAGCCUUAGGAUUUGGUUAGUUUGAGACGAGAGGUCCUUCCUGUAGUUAGAUUUAUCCUGGAAAUGCCCUGUGAAGUUUGUAUAUUAUUAUCCGAGGUAAUGCCCCGAAGUACUUGUAUUUGGAGGCCUAAAGUGAAACUCGUAGUAUUUUUAUAGUUAGUUUUAUUUUCUUUUUCUUUAAAAGUUUUAUUUUUCUUUUCUUUAUUAGGUGGGAAUGACCUCGAGCCUCUUGUGUGUUUACUUUAUUUCUGUGUGUUUUACCUCAAUUUGAACGUUUUAAAGAUAACUAGAUCAAGUACGCAAUCGUGACCUUCACGAGACUUGGGGAGUGCCUAGCACCUUCUCCCCGAGUCAAAUGAACCCCCUUACCCGAAUCUUUGGUGAGGACUUAGUUUUGAGUCCAAAUGUUUUAAAGGAAACAUUAUUUUAAAAAUAGUGACCUGGCAUAGCAAAACCAAUGUCAGGUGGCGACUCUGAGUUAUUUUCCUUUUGAAACAAAUUUUUGUCACUUUCAAAUUGAAAACCCUUUCAAGCUUUUAUUAAAUCUUUUUAUUAAUAUAAGAGAUUUUAGUGAGAGUUUGUUUUAAAAAAUGUGUGUGACAUCUCUUGCGACUCUGCUGGGGAGUUGCGGGUUUGAGCUAGUACUUGAUCUUGUUGGCUUUUAGGAUUUUCGGUUGAGGUUUUUAUGUGUUUUGUUUAUUUUAUUUGAUUUUUAUUUUGUUUAUGUCUUUUGAUUAUUUGCUAGCCGCUUAUUUGUUUACAGGUUUUUCUUUAUGUGUUACUGCUUUAUAAAUUGUCAUCAUUUUGCAUAACCAUGUGUCUUCUUUCUGCAACAAGUCUUCCGGAGUACAUUUGAGCGUACACGUCCUUCUUGUGAAUCACCCGUGUCUUUUAGGGGAUGGCGUGAAUCAUAUUAUUGAAACCUAGCAGGGCUCGGUUCGAAGUACCGUGUCCAUUUGUAGGGAGCUUGUCCAUGUUUAGUCAAAAUGGGCCCGUGGCCCAAAGUGACAUCUAAUCAUCCUAUGUGCUAAAUGUUAUAUCUCUGAGGGUAAAAAGAUCAUUUGACGGACCGAUAAUUAGGAAAAAAAGGGUGAAAUAUUAAGCAAGCAGGGCUCACUCGUAUUUUUCUUUUAUAGUCUUUCAAAAAUCAAAAACAAAAAUUGAAAAUAAAAAUCAAAACUUAUUUUAAACUUUUCCAUCAUUUUUUAAAAAUUCUAAAAAGAUUUUGCAUUUUCCCAUAUUUUUCAAAAAUUCAAAAAAAAGGAAAAAUAAAAAUUCAAUUUUUUUUACCCUUUUCGUUGUGUUCCAAAAAAAUCAAAAAAUGAAAAUGAAGAAAAAUCUAAAAAGAUUUUGCACAUUCCCAUUUUUUUCAAAAAUACAAAACAAAAAAAAAGGAAAAGUUAAAAAUUCAAUUUUUUUUUUACACUUUUCCAUUCUCUUCCAAAAAAAAAAAAUAGAAGAUCCAAAAGAGUUUACAUUUCUCAUAAUUUUUCAAAAAAAGACAAAUGUAAAAAAAAUUUCAAACUAAUUGCAUCUUUCCGAACUACGCGAACCUGUUUCUCGUCUUUCGAGGUGAUAUACGUAGGCAACCCACAUAGGGUCCGGUUUUUCUAGUCUUAGGUUCUUGACUUUGCGGGGUCUUAGCUAAAUCUUGCAUAUCUAGCUACUUGUGGCCAUAUCGACUAUUGUUGCAAAAUGGGAUCAUUUUCGCAAAAGGUUCAAUAAAUCGUGUCUUUGGAUCUUGAGUACAUAAUUAGGUGUCAUGUUAAUUUAGGGACCGUUUUUUUUGAGUUUGCAUCUUUGGCCACUUCUGGCCAUAUCAGCCUUUUUUGCAAAAUGGGUUAUUUCAGCAAAUUAAUUUUUGGGCCAUGAUAUUGGGAGUUUUGAAUCCAUAAAAGUUUUAGUUAGUCAUUUGCCAUGACCAUGAGGUCAAUUUUGUUGAGUUUGCAUCAAUAGCCACUCUUGGCCAUAUCGGUUAAUUUUUUAAAAAAUAGCCCAAUCUUGUCUUGCAUAUGUCCAAUAGGCGUUGUGGUCUCACAUAGUGUCUCGAUUCAUCUAAUCUAUUUGGUCUUAUUUUUUAAUUCAGGUAUGGAUUUUUUUACGAUACCUCGAGCAUGAUUA